CCCCUCUCACCCUUAGGAGUCAGAGAGACUCAGACAAGGGGCACAGAGUGAUUGCCAAGACCUUAAGGAGGCACAUAAGUAUCGACUUGGAAGCAGAGGCAAUAUCACCUUUUACUCCUCACUAAUCUCCAUCUUGAAAUCCCAGAAAAGGAGGGAGGAGAAUUCCCUGACACAGUCUGAGAUGGGAUUUUUUCUGGUACUAAAGCCUUCAAUGGAGCGAUGUCACCCCAAUGUGGAUGCAGGUUUGGAGGACUGCAGCACCCAGUUCCCAUCUCUAGCCCUCCUGAGGCCUUGGCUGUCUGUCCAGAAUAUUCUUUAAUAAAUUUCAUUUGGACAUGUAGAUCUUA